rnacentral:lncRNA from 1 species
UCAAAAGUUAUUAAUUUCUCAACUGUGUAUUCUGCAUGUUGAGAUACUCUUCACAACAAGCAAAAGUUCUCAACAUCAACACUAACAUCUUUGAAAUGUAGUAAUAUGAGCUAGAGUUGAUUACACAUAAUGUACCACGAGUAUCUUCUUACUGAUCUAUCCAUACAAUGUAUGGCUGGAAGUUCAACAGUAACCCAAUUACCCAACUUGUACAAAUAUUAGACACAAACUCUGCAAAUCGUUUUUGGAAGAUGAGUCGUACGGAGCAUACAAGAUCUGUGGCAGAAAUGUUGGAGCAGAGUACAGGAGAACAAGCUGAAGAACUCAGACGCUCUAAGCAAAAGCGCCGCCGAGCUGCACGAUUCAGUGGCCCAAAGUGGACUGCUUGAUCUGAUGGUUGGCUCUGUAUCGUCUAGCGCAAGUCGGUGCGUCGUCGACAGCUGUCCCGGCCCUUGAGCGAGAGUUGUUUGCUUUGCCGUUGUUUUUUGCCAUUGGAAAAGUUUGUGACCUGUAACUCUGCUCUUCACCUCUUCCCCUGAAACUCUGAAUCUGGUGCCCUCUUUCUUCUGUGAAUUCUACUCUCUGUCUCUUCAUCUCUGUAUCCUGUGAACAGAGAAAUACCAAUCAGUUGGGCGCGUAUGCUGGAUCAUAACACAUGGCGAAUGUUAAACAACAUAAAAGUAAAAAUAAAAUUAGAAGAAUCUAAAUUUGCACAUAUUAGUAUAUCUUUUGUUUGUAGGCACAAAGGAGAUUUUUUGCGUACUCGAUAAAAGAACAAACUUGAGUGUUCUAAAGAAGGAUUUUUUUAGCAAUAUUACUUCUGUUUCCUUGUGCUAUCCGAUAGUUGCUUUGCCUGAAGAUUCUAACUCGUUUCUAUCACUUACAGGUUCUUCAUUGUAAUCGAUGACAUGCGGGAAGACUUUUGGGUCGAUAUAAAAGAUGCUUUCCCUGUUAUUCCUGGGGUCGACAGUAGAGUGCUCGUCACGACGGCCAGGCAGACCAUAGCAAUGAAAAGCAGCAGUCGUGAUGGUCAUGUGUACGUAAUGAGAACUCUUGCCGACGAUCAUUCAAGACAACUGUUCUGUGAGGAAGCUUCCUUGGUGUAUCCACCAUCAGUCGGUGAUACGAAGCUGAGUUCAGAGGUAAUAAAGAGGUGUGAUGGUCUGCCCCUUGCUCUUGUUACCACAGGACGGCUGUUGCACGGUGAAUCCAGACAGGAACAAUGGGCAGAUCUGGGAGGAAACCUUGGCGAACAUCUGGAGAACAAUAAGAAGUUAGCAAGUAUGAAUAGUGUGCUCAUCCGUAGCUACAGCGGCCUAAGUAAGCAACAUAUCAAGACAUGCUUGUUAUAUCUUGGUAUUUACCCAAGUGGCCGCCCGAUCAGGAGAGGAAGCCUGAUAAGGCGAUGGUCUGCUGAAGGUUUCAUCAAAGCAGAGCAUAAACGCAGUGCCCGGGAGGUCGCUGUUGCCAAUUUUAGUGAGCUGGUCGACUGGAGCAUCAUCCAGCCAAUUGAUGCCAGCGGCAGCGGCAGAGCCGAGGUGAAGGCAUGCCAAACUCACGGCAUAAUGCUCGAGUUCCUCCUGCACAAGUCCAUGUGUGAGAAUUUUGUUACCUUGUUGUACGAUGAUGUUCCCCCACCCAGUAAAGUUCGUUGGCUCUCUCUGCAUAAUGGAAGUGCUGCAAGCUCCAGAAUUAAUCCAAAUGAUGUACCCUUUCUUCGUUCUCUGACAAUCUUUGGCAAAGCCCACAAAUCUGUCUUGAAUUUUUCCAAGUAUAAACUGAUGAGAGUUUUGGAUUUAGAAGAGUGCCAUGAACACAUGGAGGACAAGCAUCUCAAGGGGAUAUGCAGCAAUCUGGUGCUACUCAGGUACCUAAGCCUCCGGGGCGCUUCUAAAAUUACAGUUCUCCCCAAAGAGGUCAAGAAGCUUCAACUUUUGGAGACACUUGAUGUAAGAGGAACAAAUAUAGAUAUUCUCCCCACACAAGUCAUGCAACUACAAAGUUUACUUCAUCUGUUUGGAAAGUUCAAGCUCCCACAAGAUGUAGGAGGCCGGAAAAUCCGUAAGCUACAGGCUUGGUUGCAAGAGGAAGAGAACAGUAAACUGCAAACUGUAGCAGGAUUUGUUGUGGAUGACAAGAGCCAGGGAUUUGCACAGCUGAUGGGUGAAAUGAAGAAACUGACGAAGGUGAAAAUAUGGUGGGAGUCUACCACCGAUGCCAGCAGCUACUUAAGUCAUCUCUCAGAGGCCAUCAAGGAGUUCAUCGACAGAGGCACCGAUCAGAACAAAGCUCGUUCACUCUCAAUGAACAUGAACGGUGCAUGGUCUCAAGACUUGCUGAAUUUCUCCCUGGAAAAUGACUCAUCCUGCUAUGUUAGCUCGCUCAAACUGCAAGGAAACAACAUAUCCAACCUGCCUCCCUUUGUUAGCAUGCUAGGUGGACUCACUAAGCUUUGUCUUUCAUUCUCUCAUCUUCAGCUGAGCAGUGGCAUUCUUGAAGCCCUGAACAGCGUGAGCGGCCUGAAGUACCUCAAGCUGAAUGCAACUCGACUGGACAAUCUCGUCAUCAAAGAGGAUGCACUCGGAAGCCUGAAACGCCUAUGCAUCGUGGUAGAAGUCAUGACUGGGCUGGUAAUCGAAGAAGGUGCUCUGCCAGACCUUGAGUCCCUCCAGCUUAUAUGCAAGGAUCUGGAUGGCUUUAGCAGCACAAGGAUCCAGUCCCUGCCACGUCUUAAGGAGGUCGCCCUUCAUGAUGGUGUGAGCGAAGGAACAAAAGAGGAAUGGAAAGGAGCAACAAAGAACCACUCCAGGCAUCCCAAGCUCUUGUUUGUCACGAAACAAAUGGUUGAUGACCAUUUUAAACCGAUGGGAACUGAGGCUGCUCCGGAAAUUAGCCCUGAAGCGACAGCUGUUGACGCGAUGGUUGUGGGAAGUGAGCCUGUAGAGAAUUCUGAGAGCUCUGGGGCACCACCUACUGAUACCGCAUUAUUGGUUACAACGCAGCCCACCACUAUUUCUACUCAAGAAUCUGGUAAUAACUAAUAAGUGACGUACCUCUUAUUUAGCUUAAUUACUGUGGUUAAUUCCUUCGUUGUGUUGAGUUGUACAUACUCUCUCUUCAUGCAUGUAUGUGCCAUUUUUUAUGUGCAGUACAAGUUGUUACUUCUGAGAUGGUUGAUGCCCAGGACCUGAUGGGAACUGAGUCUGCAAUGGAAACUAGUCCUGUGGCAACAAGUACUGAUACGACCAAAAAGAUUGAUGUGGAAAGUGAGCAUGCGUUGAAUUCUGAGAGCCUAGUAGCACCACCUACUGAUAUGAUGUUAUCAAUGACAACGCCAUCCGAUGCCAUUUCUACUGGAGAGUCUGGUAAUUAAGUCAUGUACAUCUUAUUUUGCUUACUUAUACUUCUGUUAAUUAUUGGUGUCGUUGUAUUGAGUUAUAUAUACUCCCACUUCAUGCACACAUGUUACAUUUUUCAUUGUGCAGUACAACUUAACGGUGGUUGCCAACAUAAUGACGAGGGGAAAGAUCUGGAUAACAUUGAGGACCCAAAAGAUUUUGCUACAGAAAAUGGUCUGAGCACUCAGUUGAUAAAUCACAUGAGCAAGGAAUGUUAUAAAGUGGAGAUGGAAGGAGUGGCAUGUUUAGAGGAUCUGCAUAUGAAAGAUGGCAUCCAGGUAAUUUACACAUAACACUUGCUUUAAAUUCUUCCAAUUCUUCUCUUGGUGAAGUACACCCUCUAUCCAGAUAUAUAGGGCCUAUUUCGUAUUUCAAGAUUAACUCUCUGACAAUCGAUAAGAUCAAUAAUAUAUGAAAUGUAUGCUACAAAAAUUAUACCAUUGGAAAUUCUAUUCAAAUAUGUGUUUUUUAUAGCUAGCAAGGAGAAGUCUGACAGUGAUUAGAGAUAUUCAGGUUGUUCCUUUUUCCUUUUAUGAUUUAUGUAGUUGGACUUGUGAAGUUCACUGGAGAUGUUAAAAAUUUGAUGAUUGUUAGAGGAGUUCUUUUCGUUUCUACCUAUGUUUCCUACUACUACUAUGGUUUUCAAUUGUCAAAUUGAUCAUUGCUUAUGUUGGGUUUAGUCCCACAUCUGUUGUGGGAGUAGACAUAACACGAUUUAUAAGGAAGGGGGUGUCCCCUCCUAACAGGCUAGUCUUUUGGAGGGAGAGGGGCCAAGGUCUCUCAUAAGUCGGUGUGCUCUCUGGUUGGGCCUGGUUGACGCAUGUGAGUUGGAACGCUGGUGGUAGCGGGCCCGGGAUUGCGUAAAAAGUGAUAUCAGAGCCCAGGUGCCCGGAAUAAAUAUCGGUGAACUCACGGGUGGUCGGUCAUGGUUGGCGGGCUGGAAACGCUAGUGUUAGCGGGCCCAUGUGUGACCGAUGUGUGAGUGGCAGAUUGUUGGGUUUAGUCCCACAUCUGUUAUGGGAGGAGACAUAACACGAUUUAUAAGGAUGGGGGUGUCCCCUCCUAACAGGCUAGUCUUUUGGGGGAAGAGGGCCCAAGGUCUCUCAUAAGUCGGUGUUGCUCUCCGGUUGGGCCUGGUUGACGCAUGUGGGUCUGGUGAUAGCGGGCCCGGGAUUGCGUAAAAAGAUUUGUUAGAGUUGUGUCAAAUAUAGUGUACAAGGUAGGUUACAGUUGGACCUGUAGUUGUAUUGUGUUUAGAUAGGAUAUGGAGUCGUGUCCUAGUAGGACACUUGUAUCCUAGGCCUCUCAUAUAUAGCGGGGGUAGACACACGAUGUAACCUAUGUCAACAUAAUAGCACAGGAACGCAGGGGAAUCCGACGGCAUGUGCCAGCGUCCAGGGCGACCGGAUGCGGUAUUGUAGUGGUGUCAUGGGGAGGAGCGCCCAUAGUCAGGCCCCGGGGAUGUAGUCAUAAUGAUGAACCUCGUUAACAAAUCUCGAUGUCGUGCUCAUGUGAUUGCUUGGUCCUCAUCAAUCUAGCAAUCAUGGAAUCUAUAUUCUGUUUACUGAAUCAUCGGCUAGGUCGGAAGAAUCGGUGUGGGACACAAUCGCGUGGACGUCGAGUUGAGUGCUCGGAAUCGGCGAGAUUGGUACGUGGCCCACGGCAACGCGGAUAGGCCCAAGCGGCGGAAGACGUGCGCAGGGGGCAGCUGAGCGUGAACUCGAUCGGUCGUGGGACGUGCAGAUUUUAGCGAUACGUGGUGCAAUCGGAAACAGCAAGGAAACGCACGUGUGUACGUGAGAUUUGUUUUGAGAAAAAAAAAAAGAACCGAGUCCCCGAUGACACGAAGAGGCAGCGGCAGAUCGAGUCGAAAAUAAACAUAUCCAUCGUUUGUGUGCAUCGAUCGGAAAGCAGAGGCAGGACAAAGCAAUUGGCUAGCAUCAGAAGUUGAAGCCAAGGAGACAAGUUCACGUGAAGCAAAGGCUAGUAGUACAUGGAUUAAUCAGGUUCUAUAUGCGUACGCCAGUACUUGGGCAUCGCGUGGGAAGCUUGGUUAUUUUUUCACAGAGUCAGCCGUACAAAGAACUAUGGCGUCAAUGGAUACCAGGUUUAAGCCGGAGAAGUUUAAUGAAACUGAAAACCUUGGGUUAUGGCAGAUAUGGAUGAAAAAUUUGUUGGUGCAACAAGGAUGCUUGAAGGCGCUGCGGAAAGUCAUGUCAGCUGUGAUGGAAUUAUCAUGUGAUGGAUGGAAAUUCGUGGAAGAAAAUUUGGGAGCCUUGAGCGUGUCAUACAGUCGGAUAAGUUUGGCUGGGUCAGACUAGACAGUCUGACGGAUCGACGUAAGUCGGUUGGUACAGAAGACCGUGGUGAGAUCGGCGACGAUGACGUAGGAGCGUGAUGCUGAUGGUGACCGACUUCUGGGCGUGGAAACACGUGGCACAGGCCCGAGUGCUUGUGUGGCUUCGACAAGACUAUGGCGCGGGGUUGAUUCAAGAUGGUGCACAUGAGAGCUUGAAGUCGACGGGGCGCGAGGGUGGACUGAUCAUCCACCAUGGAGUCAUGUUGAAGGUGGAGUUGGAUUGAGGGGCCACAGUGUAAAGAUCCAGAGGAUCGAACCCUAUUUCAGCUACGGAAAAGCGAGGGACACGUAAUUUGGACUGGAGCCCAGUGGUCUGAUGGAAGCGUGAAACUCGUAUCGGUCGGUGAUGAUUGGUGGUACUCUGCAGUGGGGGUUGAGUGGUAUGGUUUCGCGACCCUUGAGACCCGACCAGGACAGCGGAGGCUCGACGCGGUAAUAGCGGCGAGGCGUGCGGUACGCACGGGGCAUGGAGACGGGCCAGGGCUCUGAUGGUCAUACAUGUGGUUAGAAAACUGUGAAUUUGACUCGGGAUGACUACAAGCAACGGUGAAAUUCCUUCAAGUCUCAGACAGGCGGUCAAGAAAGGAGCGGUGAUGUUGAGUUCAGGUAACUCUUUUGUGUGACACCCAAUAUGUGAGUUGUUCACUUUCACGCAGGUCUGAUCAGUGUGUGAUGGCGUUGGAUGGAUACUCUGAAAGUUGGGAGCGCAAACUAGAGAAAUGUGGAACUAAAUUUGGCUCGAGCGUUGACUGUGGUCAAGAAAAGAAGAGACUACAAGUUGCAGGUGGAGUCAUAUGGAGUUUUUGGAGUAGCAGCGAUAUUCGUGGGAUAAGCUCAAGUCCAAUGUACAUGGAAGUUUGACGCAUUGACGAAUUCAAGGUGGUGGAGAAUAUUCGCCAAGUUGGAGUUUGUUAGAGUUGUGUCGAAUAUAGUGUACAAGGUAGGUUACAGUUGGACAUUUAGUUGUACUGUGUUUAGAUAGGAUAUGGAGUCGUGUCCUAGUAGGACACUUAUAUCCUAGGCCUCUUAUAUAUAGCGGGGGUAGACACAUGAUGUAACAUAUGCCAGCAUAAUAGCAAAGGAACGCAGGGGAAUCCGGCGGCAUAUGCCGGCGUCCAGGACGACCGGGUGCGGUAUUGUAGCGGUGUCAUGGGAGGAGCGCCCAUAAUCAGGCCCCGGGGAUGUAGCCAUGAUGAUGAACCUCGUUAACAAAUUUUGAUGUCAUGUACGUGUAAUUGCUUGGUUCUCGAUGAUCGACGGUGGCCUCGGAUUUAUUCUAACAGCUUAGACUGCUUUGCAGAAACAAGGCCUAAAAAAUAAACAGCGCCUGCGUGCAAGGUUGUUAUCGCUGGUGAAAAUUGGUGUCUUUCGUCACACAAGUCGAAAGGGGCGGUUGGUGCAUCGGCUGGAUUAAUCUUGCUUGGGACAGGGCUGGGAUGUGUUUCGAGUACCAGGUUGGCGUUUUAAAUAGCUGUAGCUUCUGUUGCUUCGAUAGCUAGGCUGUCUUGUUGAACCUUUGGACAUUGUGUUAUCAAUUUUCUGAUGCGCUAAUGAUGGAUUCUCAGGUGCUGGGUGUGCCAGACAACUACGGAUCUGGGGACUAGUCUCCUGAAGAUUAUGAAGUGCUUCUGAUAAGUUUGUCCUUGAAUGCACAUGAGUUUGUUUUUAUGAAUUCAGAUUUGGUGGCUUUCUGCUGUCCUGCGACAGAGUCCAUCAUGUAUGUUGUUGGAGAUACAUAUAUUUGGUCCCGUUCAAGUUUGGCGUCUACUACACUAAACUUAAUCAUCGUCCUUCACACCGCCACAAGAUCAGCUUCCUUUUUUAUAAUUUAUCCCACAUGUCAGUAUCCGAUUGUUAGCAUGAACAGUAUCAUAACUUACAAGCCUAUUAUCCUUGUUUCGUUUCUGGUGGUUCUGCAUUGAAUCAUUGGUUUCAUGAAUGUAAUCAGGAAAGUACCCUUUUCUUCACAAAAGAAUAACUUGAUGAUGUUUGCGUUCAAUUUAUGCGUGCUAAUCUUAGCAAGAAAAUAAUAAUAAUAGAAUGUUGCAUUUUACUCCUAAUACUUCAAUUGGUAUAUAAAUGGGGAUAGAAUGUUGAAUUUGGGAUGUGGGUUUCCUCCCCCGUUCGCUAACUCAUGGUGGUAAAGAACUUGUUUAGAAGUGAAAAUAUAAAGCUACAAGAUGUUCAGUACAAAGCAGUGGUUAUCCCCCAAUCUCCUCCCAUGAAUUUGAUUUGCUGCUCGGGGGUCAUGAACAACAGGAGGACGAUGGAGGGAGGUGCUGCCCCUCAAGCGGUGUUAAUGGCGGCUGCUACCCUAUAUUUUUAUAUGCGACUAUACGGAUAAAACACAUUUGCCACCCCAAUCCAUCCUCGCCGGUCCGAUUCAGAAAGCAUGAGAAAGAAACCCUAGCUGGAUUCAGGGAAUACUUACAAAUCAAGCCGCCAUGACCCCGAGCUCUGCCCUCUGAAAUAGGACGAUGACGCCGGGGUGGAGGGCAGCCUCCCGUCGGCAGAAUGAUCCGCCUGUCCCGCCGGCACCACUUUGGCGGCGGCCUCUGCUCUGCUUCGCUCUCGCUCCCCUGCUCCUCUGCUCUGUUCCGC